AAGACAGAUCGGGCAGUCGCGGUGGCGCAAGCCAUCGAGGAAGGUCCGGACUCCACAGGGCAGGGUAGCGGCUAACGGCCGUCCGGUCCGGCGCGCAAGCGUCGGGCUGAGGAACAGGGCCACAGAGACGAGUCUGCAGAGCGGGCGUCCUUCGGGGCGCACCGGCACGGCCAUCUCCGUGCCGUGGCGGCUGGCAACGGCCGUCGGCGCUGCAGGGUGAAACGCGGCAACCUCUACCCGGAGCAACAUCAAAUAGGCAUGCGCACGGCCUUCGUGGCCGGAAAGGGCGGCUCGUUCGAGCAUGCGGGUAGGUGGCUAGAGCGUGCCAGCAAUGGCACGCCCAGAGGAAUGAUUGCCCGCCGGGGAAACCCGGCGUACAGAAUCCGGCCUAUAGAUCUGUCUUGCCU
rnacentral:RNase_P_RNA from 1 species